rnacentral:rRNA from 1 species
ACGGGUAGCCGGCCUGAGAGGGCGACCGGCCACACUGGGACUGAGACACGGCCCAGACUCCUACGGGAGGCAGCAGUGGGGAAUAUUGCACAAUGGGGGAAACCCUGAUGCAGCGACGCAGCGUGCGGGAUGACGGCCUUCGGGUUGUAAACCGCUUUCAGCAGGGAAGAAGCGAAAGUGACGGUACCUGCAGAAGAAGUACCGGCUAACUACGUGCCAGCAGCCGCGGUAAUACGUAGGGUACGAGCGUUGUCCGGAAUUAUUGGGCGUAAAGAGCUCGUAGGUGGUUGGUCACGUCUGCUGUGGAAACGCAACGCUUAACGUUGCGCGGGCAGUGGGUACGGGCUGACUAGAGUGCAGUAGGGGAGUCUGGAAUUCCUGGUGUAGCGGUGAAAUGCGCAGAUAUCAGGAGGAACACCGGUGGCGAAGGCGGGACUCUGGGCUGUAACUGACACUGAGGAGCGAAAGCAUGGGGAGCGA